rnacentral:rRNA from 1 species
GAAUGCGCCCGAUCUCGUCUGAUCUCGGAAGCUAAGCAGGGUCAGGCCUGGUUAGUACUUGGAUGGGAGACCGCCUAGGAAUACCAGGUGCUGUAAGCU